ensembl:lncRNA
UGGAUUACUUUUCCAUGUUGAACCAUAUCUUAGAGAUUCCCAGGAGUGUUCACGUCACGGCUGCUGAACCAGCGUCAAUGCCCAAGAUGCCCACCAGCCCAGCACCACAGCACAAGAUGGCCGCCAGCCCAGAGCCAUUGCACAAGAUGGCCGCCAUCCCAGGCCCACUGCACAAGUGGGCCGCCAGCCCAGCGCCACAGCACGAGAUGGCCGAAUCGGUGCCCGAUGCGGUUCCGGAGGCCGAGGUGGUGCCCGAUGCGGAGGCCGAGGCGGUGCCCGAUGCCGUUCCGGAGGCCAAGGCGGUGCCCGAUGCCGUUCCGGUGCCCGAUGCGGAGGCCGAGGCGGUGCCCGAUGCUGUUCCGGAGGCCGAGGCGGUGCCCGAUGCGGAGGCCGAGGCGGUGCCCGAUGCCGUUCCGGAGGCCAAGGCGGUGCCCGAUGCCGUUCCGGUGCCCGAUGCGGCGGCCGAGGCGGUGCCCGCUGCUGUUCCGGAGGCCGAGGCGGUGCCCGAUGCUGAGGCGGUGCCCGAUGCGGUUCCGGAGGCGGAGGCCCAGGCGGUGCCCGAUGCCGAGGCGGUGCCCGAUGCGGUUCCGGAGGCCGAGGCGGUGCCCGAUGCGGAGGCCGAGGCUGUUCCGGAGGCCGAGGCGGUGCCCGAUGCGGAGGCCGUUCCCGAUGCGGUGCCCGAGGCAGGGUCCGAGGCCAUUCCCGAGGCGGUGGCUGAGGUGGUGUCCGAUGCGGUGCCCGAGAUGGUUCCCGAGGCCGAGGCCGAGGCAGUGCCCAAGGCCGAGGUGGUGACCGAGGCGGCGUCCGAGGCCAUUCCCGAGGUGGUGUUCGAUGCGGUGCCCGAGAUGGUUCCCGAGGCCGAGGCGGUUCCCGCUGCCGAUGCGGGGCCCGAGGCCAUUCCCGAUGCGGUGCCCAAGGCCGAGGCGGUGCCCGAGGCGCUGUCCGAUGCGGUGCCCGUCAUGUCUCCACAGGCCGUCCAAAGCACCUUCACGUCUCCACAGGCCG